rfam:Vibrio cincinnatiensis DSM 19608 genome assembly, contig: BS67DRAFT_scaffold00005.5
AGCUUAGUAGUAAUGACCACCACCAUUAUUAUUACCGACACUACGCAUGUUGGGGCAGGCUGCUGAGCGUAAAAAUUCACAAAAAAAGGCCUGUAUCCCAACCGGUACAGGCCUUUUUUUA